AGUGAACGCUGGCGGUAGGCCUAACACAUGCAAGUCGAACGGCAGCACAGUAAGAGCUUGCUCUUACGGGUGGCGAGUGGCGGACGGGUGAGGAAUACAUCGGAAUCUACUUUUUCGUGGGGGAUAACGUAGGGAAACUUACGCUAAUACCGCAUACGACCUACGGGUGAAAGCAGGGGAUCUUCUGACCUUGCGCGAUUGAAUGAGCCGAUGUCGGAUUAGCUAGUUGGCGGGGUAAAGGCCCACCAAGGCGACGAUCCGUAGCUGGUCUGAGAGGAUGAUCAGCCACACUGGAACUGAGACACGGUCCAGACUCCUACAGGAGGCAGCAGUGGGGAAUAUUGGACAAUGGGCGAAAGCCUGAUCCAGCCAUACCGCGUGGGUGAAGAAGGCCUUCGGGUUGUAAAGCCCUUUUGUUGGGAAAGAAAAGCAGCAGGUUAAUACCCCGCUGUUCUGACGGUACCCAAAGAAUAAGCACCGGCUAACUUCGUG
rnacentral:rRNA from 1 species